UACGUAGGGUGCGAGCGUUGUCCGGAAUUAUUGGGCGUAAAGAGCUCGUAGGCGGUUUGUCGCGUCGACUGUGAAAACCCGAGGCUUAACCUCGGGCCUGCAGUCGAUACGGGCAGACUAGAGUUCGGUAGGGGAGACUGGAAUUCCUGGUGUAGCGGUGAAAUGCGCAGAUAUCAGGAAGAACACCAACGGCGAAGGCAGCUCGCUGGGACGGUACUGACGCUGAGACGCGAAAGCGUGGGGAGCGAACAGG
rnacentral:rRNA from 1 species